GACAGAGGGUGCAAACGUUGCUCGGAAUCACUGGGCGUAAAGGGCGUGUAGGCGGGAAUGUAAGUCGGGCGUGAAAUCCCUAGGCUCAACCUAGGAACUGCACUCGAAACUGCGUUUCUUGAGUAUCGGAGAGGAAAGCGGAAUACCUGGUGUAGAGGUGAAAUUCGUAGAUAUCAGGUGGAACACCAGUGGCGAAGGCGGCUUUCUGGACGAUAACUGACGCUGAGACGCGAAAGCGUGGGGAGCAAACAGGAUUAGAUACCCCCGUAGUCC
rnacentral:rRNA from 1 species